rnacentral:lncRNA from 1 species
UGCCCGCUUGGGUGGCGGCCGCCAAGCACGGGUGAGUCCCGUCGUAGCGCCCUAUGGCCACCAUGCGGGGGCUGAUUUUGUGGCGCAGUUUCAGGGUGAACACAGGCAGCAGCAUGAUGGCGCCAGCUAGGGGCGGAAGACAGACUCCCCACGCAGGCGCAAGGUUGGCAGCUUGGCAGGCCGGUUGCCUAGCAGCGGAUAAAGUGUGCGAGGGACUCAUGUCACCAACCAUGUGUUUUUAACCUGCUGAGCCAUCUUGAGGACCAAAAUCUCAGUCAACUUCAACUCCGCCCCAAACUGUCUGGCCCUGGAAUUCUUUGCUGCAAUGAAAUUGAGAAUCCUGUUAUCGCUUGAGUGGAGGCCUCUGGAAAGAAGUCCCCAGGGAGUGCGCUGCCCCAGGUGGCAGAGUGAAGCUGUAUCUCACACCUCACUGCUAGUAGCAAAGGGUAGCCUUAUUUGGAGAGCAGUCUUUACAGACUUAAGUUAAAGAGCUUGAAACCAAAGAGUGCACGAGGGCUCCCAAAGCUUGGACUUCUUCCCUAGAACGUUGAGAGGAAACAGUCUCCUAUCAACAUCGUCAUUUCAGACUUCUGGCUAUGGACAUGUGUGGGAAUAAUCUUGUUUUUAAGCCAUAAAAGUUUGAGAACAGAGGACUGCUCGUGAACUACAUGUAUAUAUUUCUAAAUACAAAUAUGCAAAAUUAAAAUGCUGCAACC